rnacentral:rRNA from 1 species
CCCGCUCAGAAACUUAAAGGAAUUGACGGGUCCCCGCACAAGCGGCGGAGCAUGCGGCUUAAUUCGAUGCAACCCGAAGAACCUUACCUGGGCUUGACAUCAUGGGAAAAGCCGUAGAGAUACGGUGUGCAUUAGCGUCCAUGACAGGUGGUGCAUGGCUGUCGUCAGCUCGUGUCGUGAGAUGUUGGGUUAAGUCCCGCAACGAGCGCAACCCUUGUCCUAUGUUGCCAGCGGUUCGGCCGGGGACUCAUAGGAGACUGCCGGGGACAACUCGGAGGAAGGUGAGGACGACGUCAAGUCAUCAUGCCCCUUAUGUCCAGGGCUGCACGCAUGCUACAAUGGCCGGUACAACGGGCUGCGAUCCCGCGAGGGUGAGCGAAUCCCUUAAAGCCGGCCUCAGUUCGGAUUGGAGUCUGCAACUCGACUCCAUGAAGUCGGAGUCGCUAGUAAUCGCGGAUCAGCAAAGCCGCGGUGAAUGCGUUCUCGGGGAUU